UCGAACGGUARCASRRRKKAGCUUGCUMMUUKGSUGACGAGUGGCGGACGGGUGAGUAAUGCUUGGGAAUCUGGCUUAUGGAGGGGGAUAACUACGGGAAACUGUAGCUAAUACCGCGUAAUAUCUUCGGAUUAAAGUGUGGGACCGCAAGGCCACAUGCCAUAAGAUGAGCCCAAGUGGGAUUAGGUAGUUGGUGGGGUAAAGGCCUACCAAGCCGACGAUCUCUAGCUGGUCUGAGAGGAUGACCAGCCACACUGGAACUGAGACACGGUCCAGACUCCUACGGGAGGCAGCAGUGGGGAAUAUUGCACAAUGGGGGGAACCCUGAUGCAGCCAUGCCGCGUGAAUGAAGAAGGCCUUCGGGUUGUAAAGUUCUUUCGGUAGCGAGGAAGGUAUCAAAUUUAAUAGAUUUGGUAAUUGACGUUAACUACAGAA
rnacentral:rRNA from 1 species